rnacentral:rRNA from 1 species
CCUGUACCGAUGUGUAGUGCGAUGUGGGGACGGAGAAGGUUAGCUCAGCCGGGUGUUGGAUGUCCCGGUUCAAGCCUGUAGUCGUGCCUGGUAGGCAAAUCCGCCGGGCUUAGAUGAGGGGUGAUAACGAGGAAGCUUGCUUCCGAAGUGAGUGAUACCCUGCUUCCAGGAAAAGCCACUAAGCUUCAGCUACACACGACCGUACCGCAAACCGACACUGGUGCGCGAGAUGAGUAUUCUAAGGCGCUUGAGAGAACUCUGGAGAAGGAACUCGGCAAAUUGACACCGUAACUUCGGAAGAAGGUGUGCCCUCAGUAGGUGAAGUCGUACAGAUGGAGCCAAACGGGGUCGCAGAGAAUAGGUGGCUGCGACUGUUUAUUAAAAACACAGCACUCUGCAAAGACGAAAGUCGACGUAUAGGGUGUGACGCCUGCCCGGUGCUGGAAGAUUAAAUGAUGGGGUGCAAGCUCUUGAUUGAAGUCCCAGUAAACGGCGGCCGUAACAAUAACGGUCCUAAGGUAGCGAAAUUCCUUGUCGGGUAAGUUCCGACCUGCACGAAUGGCGUAACGAUGGCCACGCUGUCUCCUCCAGAGACUCAGCGAAGUUGAAAUGUUUGUGAUGAUGCAAUCUCCCCGCGGAAAGACGGAAAGACCCCAUGAACCUUUACUAUAGCUUUACAUUGGACUUUGAACAGAUCUGUGUAGGAUAGGUGGGAGGCUUUGAAGCGGUGCCGCUAGGUGCCGUGGAGCCAACGUUGAAAUACCACCCUGGUGUGUUCGAGGUUCUAACCUUGGCCCGUUAUCCGGGUUGGGGACAGUGUAUGGUGGGUAGUUUGACUGGGGCGGUCUCCUCCUAAAGCGUGACGGAGGAGUUCGAAGGUACGCUAGGCACGGUCGGAAAUCGUGCUGAUAGUGCAUAGGCAUAAGCGUGCUUGACUGCGAGACUGACAAGUCGAGCAGGUACGAAAGUAGGACUAAGUGAUCCGGUGGUUCUGUAUGGAAGGGCCAUCGCUCAACGGAUAAAAGGUACUCUGGGGAUAACAGGCUGAUACCGCCCAAGAGCUCAUAUCGACGGCGGUGUUUGGCACCUCGAUGUCGGCUCAUCUCAUCCUGGGGCUGUAGCCGGUCCCAAGGGUAUGGCUGUUCGCCAUUUAAAGAGGUACGUGAGCUGGGUUUAAAACGUCGUGAGACAGUUUGGUCCCUAUCUUCCGUGGGCGCUGCAAGAUUGAGAGAGCCUGCUCCUAGUACGAGAGGACCGGAGUGGACGCACCUCUGGUGUACCGGUUGUCACGCCAGUGGCAUCGCCGGGUAGCUAAGUGCGGAAGAGAUAACCGCUGAAAGCAUCUAAGCGGGAAACUCGUCUCAAGAUGAGUCUUGCCGGGGCCUCGAGCCCCCUGAAGAGUCGUUCGAGACCAGGACGUUGAUAGGCUGGGUGUGGAAGCGCAGUAAUGCGUUGAGCUGACCAGUACUAAUUGCUCGUGAGGCUUGACCCU